UUCCUUCUGGUUGAUGAGGUAUAACAUCCUCAUUGAGGGAAGGAAUCCCUUUGGGAUGAUGAGGAUAUUAUACCUCAUUGACCGGAAGAGAUACCCUCUGUUGAGAUGUUGUACCUCAUCAACCGGAAGGAA
rnacentral:miRNA from 1 species